rnacentral:ncRNA from 1 species
AUAUGGUAGGAGAGCGUUCUGUAAGCCUGCGAAGGUGUCUUGUGAAGGAUGCUGGAGGUAUCAGAAGUGCGAAUGCUGACAUGAGUAGCGAUAAUGCGGGUGAAAAGCCCGCACGCCGUAAGCCCAAGGUUUCCUGUUCAACGUUCAUCGGAGCAGGGUGAGUCGGCCCCUAAGGCGAGGCAGAGAUGCGUAGCUGAUGGGAAGCAGGUUAAUAUUCCUGCACCGUCGUAUGAUGCGAUGGGGGGACGGAUCGCGGAAGGUUGUCCAACUGUUGGAAUAGUUGGUUUCUGGUUCAUAGAAGGCGCUUAGGCAAAUCCGGGCGCAGGAUUCAAGGGACUGGGACGGGCACCCAUGUGGUGCGAAGCAAUCGGAAGUGGUUCCAAGAAAAGCCUCUAAGCUUCAGUCAUACGAGACCGUACCGCAAACCGACACAGGUGGGCGAGAUGAGUAUUCUAAGGCGCUUGAGAGAACUCGGGAGAAGGAACUCGGCAAAUUGGUACCGUAACUUCGGGAUAAGGUACGCCCCGGUAGCUUGACCACUUUACUGUGGAAGGGUGAAAGGGUUGCAAUAAACUGGUGGCUGCGACUGUUUAAUAAAAACACAGCACUCUGCAAACACGAAAGUGGACGUAUAGGGUGUGACGCCUGCCCGGUGCUGGAAGAUUAAAUGAUGGGGUGCAAGCUCUUGAUUGAAGUCCCAGUAAACGGCGGCCGUAACUAUAACGGUCCUAAGGUAGCGAAAUUCCUUGUCGGGUAAGUUCCGACCUGCACGAAUGGCGUAACGAUGGCCACACUGUCUCCUCCCGAGACUCAGCGAAGUUGAAAUGUUUGUGAUGAUGCAAUCUACCCGCGGCUAGACGGAAAGACCCCAUGAACCUUUACUGUAGCUUUGCAUUGGACUUUGAACCAAUCUGUGUAGGAUAGGUGGGAGGCUUUGAAGCGGGGACGCCAGUUCUCGUGGAGCCAUCCUUGAAAUACCACCCUGGUUUGUUUGAGGUUCUAACCUUGGUCCGUUAUCCGGAUCGGGGACAGUGCAUGGUAGGCAGUUUGACUGGGGCGGUCUCCUCCUAAAGUGUAACGGAGGAGUUCGAAGGUACGCUAGGUACGGUCGGACAUCGUGCUAAUAGUGCAAUGGCAUAAGCGUGCUUAACUGCGAGACCGACAAGUCGAGCAGGUACGAAAGUAGGACAUAGUGAUCCGGUGGUUCUGUAUGGAAGGGCCAUCGCUCAACGGAUAAAAGGUACUCUGGGGAUAACAGGCUGAUUCCUCCCAAGAGUUCAUAUCGACGGGGGAGUUUGGCACCUCGAUGUCGGCUCAUCACAUCCUGGGGCUGUAGCCGGUCCCAAGGGUAUGGCUGUUCGCCAUUUAAAGUGGUACGUGAGCUGGGUUUAAAACGUCGUGAGACAGUUUGGUCCCUAUCUGCCGUGGGCGUUGGAAAUUUGAAGGGGGCUGCUCCUAGUACGAGAGGACCGGAGUGGACGAACCUCUGGUGUACCGGUUGUCACGCCAGUGGCAUUGCCGGGUAGCUAAGUUCGGAAGAGAUAACCGCUGAAAGCAUCUAAGCGGGAAACUUGCCUUAAGAUGAGAUUUCCCGGAGCCUUGAGCUCCUUGAAGGGUCGUUCGAGACCAGGACGUUGAUAGGCUGGGUGUGGAAGUGCAGUAAUGCAUUAAGCUAACCAGUACUAAUUGCCCGUACGGCUUGUCCCU